rnacentral:rRNA from 1 species
UCCAGACUCCUACGGGAGGCAGCAGUGGGGGAUAUUGCACAAUGGGGGAAACCCUGAUGCAGCGACGCCGCGUGGGUGAAGAAGUAUUUCGGUAUGUAAAGCCCUAUCAGCAGGGAAGAAAGAAGACGGUACCUGACUAAGAAGCCCCGGCUAACUACGUGCCAGCAGCCGCGGUAAUACGUAGGGGGCGAGCGUUAUCCGGAUUCACUGGGUGUAAAGGGAGCGUAGACGGCCGUGCAAGCCAGGAGUGAAAGCCCGGGGCCCAACCCCGGGACUGCUCUUGGAACUGUGCGGCUGGAGUGCGGGAGGGGCAGGCGGAAUUCCUGGUGUAGCGGUGAAAUGCGUAGAUAUCAGGAGGAACACCGGCGGCGAAGGCGGCCUGCUGGACCGCGACUGACGUUGAGGCUCGAAAGCGUGGGGAGCGAACAGGAUUAGAUACCCGCGUAU